GUCGAGCGGAACGACAUUAUUGAUUCUUCGGAUGAUUUAAUGGGCGUCGAGCGGCGGACGGGUGAGUAAUGCCUAGGAAAUUGCCUUGAUGUGGGGGAUAACCAUUGGAAACGAUGGCUAAUACCGCAUAAUGCCUUCGGGCCAAAGAGGGGGACCUUCGGGCCUCUCGCGUCAAGAUAUGCCUAGGUGGGAUUAGCUAGUUGGUGAGGUAAUGGCUCACCAAGGCGACGAUCCCUAGCUGGUCUGAGAGGAUGAUCAGCCACACUGGAACUGAGACACGGUCCAGACUCCUACGGGAGGCAGCAGUGGGGAAUAUUGCACAAUGGGCGCAAGCCUGAUGCAGCCAUGCCGCGUGUAUGAAGAAGGCCUUCGGGUUGUAAAGUACUUUCAGUUGUGAGGAAGGGGGUAACGUUAAUAGCGUUAUCUCUUGACGUUAGCAACAGAAGAAGCACCGGCUAACUCCGUGCCAGCAGCCGCGGUAAUACGGAGGGUGCGAGCGUUAAUCGGAAUUACUGGGCGUAAAGCGCAUGCAGGUGGUUCAUUAAGUCAGAUGUGAAAGCCCGGGGCUCAACCUCGGAACUGCAUUUGAAACUGGUGAACUAGAGUACUGUAGAGGGGGGUAGAAUUUCAGGUGUAGCGGUGAAAUGCGUAGAGAUCUGAAGGAAUACCAGUGGCGAAGGCGGCCCCCUGGACAGAUACUGACACUCA
rnacentral:rRNA from 1 species